rnacentral:rRNA from 1 species
GGGGGAAUAUUGGACAAUGGGCGAAAGCCUGAUCCAGCCAUGCCGCGUGUGUGAAGAAGGUCUUCGGAUUGUAAAGCACGUUAAGUUGGGAGGAAGGGCAGUAAGUUAAUACAUUGCUGCUUUGACGUUACCGACAGAAUAAGCACCGGCUAACUCUGUGCCAGCAGCCGCGGUAAUACAGAGGGUGCAAGCGUUAAUCGGAAUUACUGGGCGUAAAGCGCGCGUAGGUGGUUUGUUAAGUUGGAUGUGAAAGCCCCGGGCUCAACCUGGGAACUGCAUCCAAAACUCGCAAGCUAUAGUAAGGUAGAGAGUGGGGGAAUUUCCUGU